rnacentral:misc_RNA from 1 species
AGGUCACUUUUCUCCAUUUGAAAAUUCUCUUCCAUUCAUGUAGAUUUGGUAAUCAUUAUUUUUUGUGUGUGCAUACCUAUAUCUGGAGUUUUAAGCUAUCAGCAACUUUAAAAUCAGUUAAUCUCUCUCUCUCCUCCUCUCUGGUUCUUGCGGUUGGGGCCCUAUAACCUAGCUUUAUGGUUUAGGUUAUAGGGUGUGGUCAUCAUGGAAUUUUUUUAGUUUCUCUAUAAUUUUUCCUUGUUGAAGCCGGGAGAGAUUACAGUGGUCUUUAUACAUUUAUAAUCAAUUUAUGACUUAUAUUUUCUUCUUGAAAUCAACUUUCAUUCCUUAUUUUUCUUAACAUUUUCAGGAAUAGAAUAAAACUUUCUCAAAAGCAUAAUCUUUAGGCCACUAAUGGAGCUGGUCCUUUGGCUUACUUAUUGUUUAGUCCAUUGCUUCAGUGAAAGAUUUGUCAUUCAUACCCUUCAUUUUCUGUUGGUUUGACCUUUAUCACUCAUUCUUCAGCAAUUUAGCUUCAUAGAUUGCCAUUCCAGAGAAUUUGUUAUUUUAGGAUAUAGGUAAAUUCUACUGCUUUGCCUAAAUGGUGGUAUUUAAUUAAGUAUUCAGGUGCAGGUCUUUUUACAAAGUACUUGCUUUGUGAAUGAGGCGUAGAGAAUUGAUAAUUCCUCCUAAAGAUUAUAAAAAUCUGUAGGAAUCUCUGGUGUCUUAAAAAUUAGAACUAAUUCCAGUUUUUCAACGGCAUCAAUAAUUUUGCUUUAAUUUGUUAGACUAGUUCAACUCAUCUAUACAAUUGAUGCAGGUUCUGGGAUUGUGCUUUCCUAAUCUGUGAAGGAAAUUUUGAAAAAGAAAAAUACCAUAAUUGUGUUCUCCCUUAUAUUUUUAUUUAUUUUUAUUUUUGUCCAUUUUCAAUGCAUUUCAGUCCAUUAAUUAUUAGGCUGCUUUUCUCCGUUGUCUAGGUCCACCUUUAUCUUUUUUCAUAAUUUGUGCCCUUUUCUUGGCCCCUAUGGUGAUGUAAUGACAGUUGUCAAUGCUCAACAACUA